ensembl:snRNA U2 U2 spliceosomal RNA
AUCCAUUUGGGAAACUUUGGGUACAAUCAAGUGUAGUAUCUUUUCUUUUCAGUUUAUUUAGUGUGUCUUCUAUUUGAAGACAGUAUAUUAAAUACAAUUUUGGAGUUCUGAGAUGGUAUGGGGCUUGCUUCUUCUAUCCCAUUCAUUAACCUGGUGUUGUAGUAUCUGCAUGAUCACUGUAUCAAAA